GACGAACGCUGGCGGCGUGCUUAACACAUGCAAGUCGAACGGAAAGGCCCUGCUUUUGUGGGUUGCUCGAGUGGCGAACGGGUGAGUAACACGUGAGUAUCCUGCCCUUGACUUUGGGAUAACUCCUGGAAACUGGGGCUAAUAUCGGAUAUGAGCUCCUGCUGCAUGUUGUGCGUUGGAAAGAUUCGGCGGUUGGGGAUGGACUCGCGGCUUAUCAGCUUGUUGGUGUGGUAGUGGCUGACGAAGGGUGUGACGGGUAGCCGGCAUGGGAGGGGUACCGGCGACAAGAGGACUGAGAGAGGGAGCAGAAUGGAACGGGAGGCAGUGGUGGGGAACAUGGCGGAGUGGGCGGGAGCGAGAGGCGGAAACGCCGGGAGCGGGAAGAUGGGUUAUGGGGGAUGAACAGAUGUCGAAUGAGACGAAGAGGGAGUGACGGUACUGGGUAAGGAAGCACCGGCUAACUACGUG
rnacentral:rRNA from 1 species